UACGUAGGGGGGCAAGCGUUGUCCGGAUUUAUUGGGCGUAAAGAGCGUGUAGGCGGCCUGACAAGUCUGCUGUGAAAACUCGAGGCUCAACCUCGAGAUGUCGGCGGAAACUGUCUGGCUAGAGUCCGGAAGAGGAGAGUGGAAUUCCUGGUGUAGCGGUGAAAUGCGCAGAUAUCAGGAAGAACACCUAUGGCGAAGGCAGCUCUCUGGGACGGUACUGACGCUGAGACGCGAAAGCGUGGGGAGCGAACAGG
rnacentral:rRNA from 1 species